GUAAUUUUCAUUCUUGUGGGGGUGCUUUGUACCAUUGGCUUAUUUCAAUAUAGUUCGGAGGUAUUUUCCGCAAAAGAAAGAGCAAACAGGUUUAGUAUUUUUUUUAGGAAAUGUUGGUUGUUUUUUGUUUGCAAGAUUAUAUUCCGUUCCUUUUUUAAGUCACUGAUCUAAAACGCCUCUUCCUGUCAUCACGUGUCCUGCGGCGCGACGCCUUAUCUUCCUCCCCCUCGUUCCCCACCGCUGAAAUCUUAUCCUCUCGACCUCUCGCCCCGUUUCUUCCUCUUUCCCCCCUCCCUCUCACUUUCCUCUUCUUCAUUCGCCAGGCAACUGUGUCGACGGGAGACGAUGCACGGCAGUGUGUCUUGCUACGAGAAGCUUCCGUCGUCCGGGCGCGCUCCGAUGCUGCCGAAGGAGGCGCUGUCGUGCUCACCUGCGCGCGCAAGCUGCGGGUUUUUUGCAAGGCAGGGGCUCGCUGCUGCUAGCCCGCACGAGCUGGCUCCAAGGGCCAGGCGCUACAACUUGAGGAGCUCGAAGCCGACUACCUGUUGUGGCUCUCCGGAGUUACUCAUGCGACGUGGGAAGGAAGUCGCCAUGGAACAACCCCGCCGCCUUGGAGCUCGCCCCGCCUCCGGCCCACCACCUCUCCGUCGGCCUCGUGCUCCUCCGCCUCGAUCCGCCCGCCCCGCCGCUGGAUCCACGUCGGAGCCACCGUAUCCGCCGCCCAGACCACCAACCAAGAGUUGCAUCUUGCGUGUCCUGCGGCCGGGAGGAGGACGACCGAGAGGAGUGCCCAUUCAUCCGCCGCCUUGGAGCUCGCCCUCCCUUCGGGCCGCCACCUCUCCGUCGGCCUCGAUCCGUCCGCCCUGCCGCCCAGACCACCAACCAAGCGGCGCCUCUUGCCUGUCCUGUGGUCGCAGGUCGAAUAAUAAAAACUGCAGGGUCCUUUAUGUUAAAAUGAAUCAUUUUUUCGGAUUAGCCACUUAAAAAUAGGACCGUGGGUUGAAUUCUCAGAAACAUAUGUACUUUUAUGCAAAAUCGCUAGCAGCGAUGACAGACGACAGAAACCCAACUUUCUUUAGUAUUAGGUAAAGAUACUGCUUUUCUAGCUAACGAGCCACGCACCAUGUUAGGGAGAUCCAACACGGUCGCGACAGGAUCAUGUCGUUAAGCAACGAAUGAUUCGCCGUACACAAGUACAAAGCACUACGAGCUUAAAAAAUUGGAGAUGAUAUAUAUAAUAUAAUAGACGAUGUUCCGUUGUCGAUAACCAUACAGUAGGGCACUAUGCUAACUACACAAAUCCACAUCGAAUAAUUAACGAGAUCGCGAGGCACAUAUGUCAACAAGAUCCUCUUGGAAAACAAGAACGGAGCACUAGUAUUUUACUUCCACGUGCAACCAUGUGAUUGCCCCUGUCUUUUUCUUUGUACUCCCUCC
rnacentral:rRNA from 1 species